UCCGGUUUGUCACCGGCAGUCUCCCUAGAGUGCCCUUGCGUAGCAACUAGGGACAAGGGUUGCGCUCGUUGCGGGACUUAACCCAACAUCUCACGACACGAGCUGACGACAGCCAUGCAGCACCUGUGUUACGGCUCCCUUUCGGGCACACCCCCAUCUCUGAGGGCUUCCGUACAUGUCAAGGGUAGGUAAGGUGGGGAUGACGUAGAACGGUUGGUU
rnacentral:misc_RNA from 1 species